rnacentral:lncRNA from 1 species
UGGCUUAGCCGAGGCAUUAAGGAAAUCUCUCAGUGUUGCUGAGUGCUGCUGCUUUCUAGGGUCAAGGAAAUGAAGGACGCAAAUUUUGCGUUAGAGAAACAAAAGGAGAAGAGUAUUGAGAUUUCGGUAAUAUAUGAGGGGAAAAAAAGAAAAAAAAAAAAAAAGAAGAGGCAAAGUCCUAGCUCUCCACCAGCUCUCUGCAAUACCACGCUGCCAUGGAGCACAGCUGAGCCCUGUCAAAACAAUAUCAAUAAGUUCCAAUUGAAGAGCGGAUUCUUUUGCAAUUCAGGCAUGUGCCGGCGAUAACGGGCGAGUUGGCAUGAAGAGAGGCAGAGAUGGAUUAAUUAUGCAGAGAACAUGGAAAUUCUGCUUAUCAUCGGCUAGCAAAGGAGCCCAGCUCACAUAAUCAGCAAACGAAGGGAGAGAAAAAAAUAACAAUGCAAUGGCACCUUCCAGCCCAUCAUCAGGAUUUUUUCUACCCCCUUGUAAUUAAAAAAUAACAUACACUUAUAGCCCUAUCUCCUGUGCAGGCAAGGAGUGGAUGUCCACAAAAUAAUUGCACUGGGAUAUUAGAGCUGGGAACAAGGGCUGUCCAUUCCUACUAUCCCUUACCCUCUCCCUCCCUCUCUCCUCCGGCCUCUCCUAGGCACUUUCUUUCUGUCUGCAUUCUGAAUCAGAUGCGUGUCUCAGGUGACACCCUAUCUCAGUGUCCAUAAGUCCCAAACCUCACUCUUAUCAAGAUUCAAGCAAACAUGUAUAUGAUAAAUAUUUGAAGUGCUGAAGCUGUGGGGUUUUAUCCUGAUCACCUAUGAGCUAUCUACUGAAAAUCAUUUUGAUGAAAACCUUUCCAAACAGUCUCUUUGAGUUACAAAAUAGACUGAUUAGAAGGGGGUUUUGUUGCCAUUCCUAUUUCACUUUUGCUCAGGGAAGAUUAUGUUACCUAUAAAGUGUGGGUUUUUUUCUUAUUCAUCUCAUGCUUCUUUAAAUACAAGGUAAAAAAAUAAAGAAAUGAAACAGAUUUAUUGGUUAGAUGAA